ACUGCAGCUUCAAGCAAAUGCAACCCAGAAGGCGAGUGAUCUCCCCAUUUCCAAAUGAGGCACCAGGUUAAUUUCAAUGGGACUGGUUGGACAGUGAGUUUAAACCAAAGAGGGCAAACUGAGGCAGAGUGGGCCACUGCCCCACCUGGGAAGUGCUUCUGACCAGAGGAUUGGGGGUUCUCCCCCUCUGGCACUCUGGUUCAGAUACUGUGCUUCACCCAAGCCCUCUGCAACCCACAGAACAGGAGAUCUUCCCCGGGCUGAAAAGCACCCAUGAGUUAAGUGCACAGAGCUGAGCAGUAAUCCUGGCCAGUGCUGUGGGUUGUCAGCACAGAUCUAAGUGGAUGCAUUGGCUAAUGCUGAGAAAGCCUGUGGGACUGAGCUACCUGCCCGCCAGGAAGAAGGGGAACUGAAAGCAGUUGAGUCAGGCAAUACACUAGGUGGGUCUCUUCUCCCCAACAAAGCCCAGCAAACUGAAGCCCUAUUGCUUAAGAGUUUUGCAGCCGGCACAUCCAUUCGAGCUUGAUCCUGAAUGAUUGAGCUCAGUGGGGGAAAGGGCAGCCACCAUUGCAGAGGCAGGUCUAAUCUUCCUGUGUAAACAAAUGACAC